rnacentral:rRNA from 1 species
AAUUCGCCCUUAGAGUUUGAUCCUGGCUCAGGAUGAACGCUGGCGGCGUGCCUAAUACAUGCAAGUCGAGCGAGGUUCUUCGGAACCUAGCGGCGGACGGGUGAGUAACACGUGGGUAACCUGCCUGUAAGACCGGGAUAACUUCGGGAAACCGAAGCUAAUACCGGAUACUUUCGAGCAUCGCAUGAUGCUUGAUGGAAAGACGGCUUCGGCUGUCACUUACAGAUGGACCCGCGUCGCAUUAGCUAGUUGGUGAGGUAACAGCUCACCAAGGCGACGAUGCGUAGCCGACCUGAGAGGGUGAUCGGCCACACUGGGACUGAGACACGGCCCAGACUCCUACGGGAGGCAGCAGUAGGGAAUCUUCGGCAAUGGGCGAAAGCCUGACCGAGCAACGCCGCGUGAGCGAUGAAGGCCUUCGGGUCGUAAAGCUCUGUUGUUAAGGAAGAACAAGUACGAGAGUAACUGCUCGUACCUUGACGGUACUUAACGAGAAAGCCACGGCUAACUACGUGCCAGCAGCCGCGGUAAUACGUAGGUGGCGAGCGUUAUCCGGAAUUAUUGGGCGUAAAGCGCGCGCAGGCGGUUUUUUAAGUCUGAUGUGAAAGCCCACGGCUCAACCGUGGAGGGUCAUUGGAAACUGGGAAACUUGAGUGCAGAAGAGGAAAGCGGAAUUCCACGUGUAGCGGUGAAAUGC